AUUGAACGCUGGCGGCAGGCCUAACACAUGCAAGUCGAGCGGAGCGGCGGACGGGUGAGUAAUGCCUAGGAAUCUGCCUGGUCGUGGGGGAUAACGUCCGCAAACGGGCGCUAAUACCGCAUACUAUCAGAUGAGCCUAGGUCGGAUUAGCUUGUUGGUGGGGUAAAGGGCUACCGAGGCAACGAUCCGUAACUGGUCUGAGAGGAUGAUCAGUCACACUGGAACUGAGACACGGUCCAGACUCCUACGGGAGGAAGCAGGGGGGAAUAUUGGACAAUGGGCGAAAGGCUGAUACAGCCAUGCCGCGUGUGUGAAGAAGGUCUUAGGGUUGUAAAGUACUUUAAGUUGGGAGGCGUUACCAGCAGAAGAAUCACCGGCUAACUACGUGCCAGCAGCCGCGGUAAUAC
rnacentral:rRNA from 1 species